GGCAGGGUGGCUAGGAAUGGCUCUAGUAGAAUUCUCCCCUUAUCUUGUCUGGAAACAAGGGGCAAAGAGCUAUCUAUUUCCUCCUGCCAGCCUCCUGCCCCCAACAGGAUUCCUCACAUCCCAGGACCAGCUGGAAAAGGUGGUGAGAGUUGGAAAGAGACUGCUCAGUGAGGACUGCCCUGCGAACCAGCUUGGAUUCAUCCCGUUCACCUCCACGUUCUGCACUCGGGGCCGAGGGAAGGGAGGCAGCCCAGGCAGCUAGAGAACUUGAUGAAACACACUCAAUCUGAAUCUCGCUUGAUCGUCAUGCUGACCCAGUGAGUCUACUCAGGGUCAGGCAUCCUUUCCGACUACUCACUCAGCAGCGGAUCCCCACCCGCCUCUGACUCCCAGUGUCUUUCGGCUCCAACGUAAGUUCACCGAACGUCUAAGAGCUGAGGAUUCAAAGGCAUGUAAGACCGCCCCUGCCCUCAGCUGCAAGACCUGUCCGCGAUCCUACGAGCCCCAUUCCGCCCUCUUUCCCCGACCUUGGUCCCCCAUGGGCCCUACAACCAGGUCCCCGACUGACACCUUGACCAGCGAACACAGCAAACAGGCCCGCAGAUGCCGCAGGUCCUUCGGCACCGUCUCCAGGGCCAUCUUCGCCGAUGGGAAGAACAACAGGGAGAUAGACGACCACAGCCUGUGCACCCGCAGGAAGUAAAUAGCUCGUUACCCAGAAUGCCCACCACUUCCGGCGCUUAGACUUCCUCUUCCGGUGUGGGCGGACGCCAGCUCCGCCCCUACCCCCGCCAGAGGAGAUGGUUUCUCCCGCCAGCAGGCGGGGAGGCUGGGCGGCCGGCCGCCACCUGGGCCGGAGCGCGUCGCAGCCACCUGAGCCCGCCGAGGGCGCGGCGGAGGCUGUGUGGGGUAGUCAGCGGGCCCCCGGGGCGGGGGGGCGGCUGCGCUUGCGCGGGAGUGUGUCGGGCUGAGCCGCAGCGCCGAGACGCGGGCUGUUUGAUCUGGGCUGGUGGCCCUGGGCGUCGGUCCUGUUCCCCGAUGGUAACCCGAAGUUUGUUUUUUUUUGUUUUGUCUCCCCGUUUUAGAAGCAUUGGGGGCAGUGAAUCCACUGUCUCCCUCUGGAUUGUCUCUGCAGAGACCGAGAAGAAAUCCAGGGACAGCCCCACCCCUCCUUCCUAACUGCGAGAGCGCUAUAGGGUUUCCACUUGCUUCCCACAGGAAUGCUGGCCUGGGAGCUACGGCGGAAAAAAAUGCGUAUUUAUCUUUUAAAACUCCGUCUGUUUGCUCGUUCCGGCUGAUAAUUUAUACUUUGCGCAGUUCUUAGCGCUUAGACACGGUUCCUUUACUAAAGACCAUUUGUAGGAGAUUAGGUGUCCUUUUUUUCCCUUUCAUUUCACCGUCUAGGAAGCGAAAUGCCUUGUUCUAUAGGCACUAAACCACCACCCCUACCAAACCUUUCUCGGGGAAGCAGAAGGGGAACUUGUGCCUUGUGAGGAAGCGACAAAGGCCCCUUCUGGCCCUGGAGACUUCACGCCAAUGGAGCACCAGCUCUCUGUCCUCGCAAUAGCCCGAGUGCAGGCAGAACGCAGUCAUUUGUGUUUAUCUGAGAGGAGCUUUGGGAUAUAAAUAGUUUCAGGCCCCGCUGCGCUGUCAUUCCAGCCCAGCCUCCUGAUUGAGCUGCUUCCGGGCGGGCUUUCUUCUUGUUGGCGGUCCCAUGCUGUGUUCAGAUGGGCUCUGUGACAGGUUUGGAUGUUUUCUAUCACUGAAUAAAACUUUCCACUUUGGAACAUA
ensembl:lncRNA TSPOAP1-AS1 TSPOAP1, SUPT4H1 and RNF43 antisense RNA 1